GGGAAUGUGGCUCAGUGGUAGAGUGCUUGCCUAGCAUGCAUGAAGCCCUGGGUGCCAUUCCUC
rnacentral:tRNA from 1 species